rnacentral:rRNA from 1 species
GUUUGCCUACGGGGCGCAGCAGUGAGGAAUAUUGGUCAAUGGGCUAAGGCCUAAACCAGCCAAGUCGCGUGAGGGAAGACGGUCCUAUGGAUUGUAAACCUCUUUUGUCGGGGAGCAACGAGGCCACGUGUGGCCGAAGUGAGAGUACCCGAAGAAAAAGCAUCGGCUAACUCCGUGCCAGCAGCCGCGGUAAUACGGAGGAUGCGAGCGUUAUCCGGAUUUACUGGGUGUAAAGGGCGUGUAGCCGGGAAGGCAAGUCAGAUGUGAAAUCCGGAGGCUCAACCUCCGAAUUGCAUUUGAAACUG